AGCCACACCCAGCAGGCAGUCAGCUUGUUAGCUUAUCUUAGCAUAAAGACUGGAACCAAGGAAACCGCUAGCCUGACUCUUGCAAAUUCCAGGAAGUUACUGCAC